rnacentral:rRNA from 1 species
GACGAACGCUGGCGGCGUGCUUAACACAUGCAAGUCGAACGGAAAGGCCCUGCUUGCGGGGUACUCGAGUGGCGAACGGGCGAGUAACACGUGGGUGAUCUGCCCUGCACUUCGGGAUAAGCCUGGUAAACUGGGUCUAAUACCGGACAGGAGCCAUAUUGAGUGGGAUGGUUGGAAAGUUUUUGCGGUGUCGGGUGAGCCCGCGGCCUAUCAGCUUGUUGGUGGGGUAAUGGCCUACCAAGGCGGCGACGGGUAGCCGGCCUGAGAGGGUGGACGGCCACAUUGGGACUGAGAUACGGCCCAGACUCCUACGGGAGGCAGCAGUGGGGAAUAUUGCACAAUGGGCGCAAGCCUGAUGCAGCGACGCCGCGUGGGGGAUGACGGCCUUCGGGUUGUAAACUCCUUUCGCUAGGGACGAAGCUUUUGUGACGGUACCUAGAUAAGAAGCACCGGCUAACUACGUG